rnacentral:misc_RNA from 1 species
UAUAUUACAAACCAAAUAACACAACACAGACUACACACCUAAAUCUCCAUGCACUUCUUUAGAAUUUCCUGCUGUCAUUAAGAGUCCAAUCCAAAAGUACUCCGUAUCAUUUACAGUAUUCAAACUGUUGAUGGCUUCCACAGUUGUUGCCAUAGAACUCAAAGGUUCCUGGGAUGGCUCUUGUGGGAAAACUGUUGCAUGGUCAAGAUGACUUCUUUUAAUUUGAUGGGUAGGAAAAUUCUCAG